UAGUUGUUGAACAGUCAAGUUUCCUUCCAUUGUAACACUCUACUACUGUGAGACAACUUACUUUCUUUACCUGUUGGUUAUUUGCUCUCCUUAUAGACAAAACCUUGUAUACUGUAAUUUGGAAUAGGUCUUGAGAAAAUCUAGCUUGUUAAUGGAAUCAGUUGUAUAAUUAGACUUUAAACACCUGUUUAAUUACAGGUAUUUCCAAUUUUUUAAGUCAAACACUGUACAUUGGGCUGCCAAAUAAUUUCAAUUAUAUUCACUCUGCUUAUUCCAGCUUUAGGCUAUAUAUUGUUGGUUCUAUCUAUCUUCAAAAAUGCAAGUGCAUGCUCAAGUAUUCACUGACUACAGUGAAAUCCCAAAGUUUAUGGCCUUCUAGACUUGCUUAUAAGGCUCAUUGUAUAAAUUACAAGCCUGUGGCACAAAGGGUGUUAAAUCAUUUCCAAAAUCUCAGUUUCUUUAAAACAUGACAUUUUCAAUAUUGUGGAAUAAUAUGUUCUAUUCAUACUUGUUGAUUUCAAGAAAAUAAUUUGUAUUAGAAGUUGCAUUUUUCUUUACAAGUUAGUUAUUUGUGUGUGAAUUCUGUAUCAGUUAUGUCCAGUACCCGUUGCCAUGGUAAUAUGCCUUGUAAGACAUCUUAGCACAGUUGUAUACUAAGGUCUGUGCAAUUAUCAAGACAACUAGUGGAACAAAAAUUUUGGUUAAAACAGAGACCAAAAAAUGUCAGAAAAUGUUGUGUAGAUAGAGCACUAUUGCAAAUCAGCAGGUAGCCAGUGGGCUCAGAUUGAAAUCAGCAGUAGCCAGUGGGCUCAGAUUGAACAUUCAGCUACUUUCAAGAAUUGAGUAGCUGCCGACAUUUGAGUCUGUAAUAUAUGAUAAUGUUAUACUGCUGCCAGUGUUAUGAUAGGUGUGGAAAUAUUAGUUCACAUUCUUAAACUAUUUAAUUGAGUAUGAACUAAUACCUAGUUUCAUUUGAAAGCAGCAGGAUCAACUAACACUGUCUUCAGUUUUGUUUUUAGUUUCUUUUUUGUCACAUGCACUUAUUGACAGGAACCAUCAGAUGACUGAAAAGAAUCUGGUUUCUAACCAAGUUCAUCAGACUGGCCUUAGUGUCUGUAUCCAAAGGAAAGCUGUACCUUAGUCAUCAUUAUCUCCUAUUUAUCUCAAGCUUCACGAUGUAUGUCAGAGAAUGGUUUCAUCAGUAGAUGUUAUUUUUAUGUUGUAAUUUAUGGUUCUGUGCAACUGCUCUUGGAAAUAAAUUAUUGGCUUUAUCAGACAGUGGAUUUAC